AGGUCUGAAUUACGCGAGGAUCGUCUCGAAGCAUGGUAGCCUCAACAGACGCUUGCCGCCACACGCGAGGAGAAAGCAGGAGGCCCGAAGUUUGAAUGUGAAGAGGAGGUGCGAAGAGCUGGCCCUCACUUUUUCAAGGCAGCCGCAGAACACUACGAGCCCCGAAUCACUGCCGCGGCUGACUCACGCGGAUGCUGUGCUGCACCCUGCACUGCACAUGGUUCGAAGCAAACUUCAGGGGACCAGUGCAUGCCCCUGAUGCAUCGUCGCGAAGCACUGUAUGGCUCUCUGCACGCUAGAAUGGGGGCUGUCGUUGAUGCUCGCAGAGGCGUCGCCCACAACUAAGCAGACGACCAAAGUCCUGAGCAGGUGACUAAUCGUUUCAUUGUUCUUUGGUAGUGAAAGGUAGAUAAU